AGACCCGAAACCCGGUGAUCUAGCCAUGGGCAGGUUGAAGGUUGGGUAACACUAACUGGAGGACCGAACCGACUAAUGUUGAAAAAUUAGCGGAUGACCUGUGGCUGGGGGUGAAAGGCCAAUCAAACCGGGAGAUAGCUGGUUCUCCCCGAAAGCUAUUUAGGUAGCGCCUCGUGAAUUCAUCUCCGGGGGUAGAGCACUGUUUCGGCUAGGGGGCCAUCCCGGCUUACCAACCCGAUGCAAACUGCGAAUACCGGAGAAUGUUAUCACGGGAGACACACGGCGGGUGCUAACGUCCGUCGUGAAGAGGGAAACAACCCAGACCGCCAGCUAAGGUCCCAAAGUCAUGGUUAAGUGGGAAACGAUGUGGGAAGGCCCAGACAGCCAGGAUGUUGGCUUAGAAGCAGCCAUCAUUUAAAGAAAGCGUAAUAGCUCACUGGUCGAGUCGGCCUGCGCGGAAGAUGUAACGGGGCUAAACCAUGCACCGAAGCUGCGGCAGCGACACUCAGGUGUUGUUGGGUAGGGGAGCGUUCUGUAAGCCUGUGAAGGUGUGUCGUGAGGCAUGCUGGAGGUAUCAGAAGUGCGAAUGCUGACAUAAGUAACGAUAAAGCGGGUGAAAAGCCCGCUCGCCGGAAGACCAAGGGUUCCUGUCCAACGUUAAUCGGGGCAGGGUGAGUCGACCCCUAAGGCGAGGCCGAAAGGCGUAGUCGAUGGGAAACGGGUUAAUAUUCCCGUACUUGGUGUUACUGCGAAGGGGGGACGGAGAAGGCUAUGUUGGCCGGGCGACGGUUGUCCCGGUUU
rnacentral:rRNA from 1 species